ACUAUACUAUUUGGGAACAAACAUCUUUUUUGUUAGAAUUUUGGGAGAGGUUAAAGAUUUACAGCAUGAUGACACGUGUGUGUUUUACUCCAUUGUUGCUUCGGUGUUGCCUCAUUUGUGUGCCCUCUGCAAAAAAUUGGAGCCUUUUUCCUUGGUAGUGCUCUAUUUUGGUAGGUUGGAUGUGUGGCUAUAGCUGCAUAGUGGCUAGCUUCUAGGUUUGUCUCUCUUCUUCCUUUCUCUGGUGGGUCCCCGUGGUCAAAGCGGUGCAAACUCUGUUUAGAUUUGGAUAGAAAGAAGGCAACACGGUGCUAGGUACCAGGUGUCCCUCCAUUGGUGCUCCACCGCACAAAGGAAACACACGAUCGGCCACACCGUGAUUUCUUCAUCCACAUCGCCGUGUCCAAACCCUUCUUUCUGGCUAGGUGGUCGGCGAGCACAGCGGCAGCUUGCGGCGCGCUCGAUCUAGAGGGCACGGAGAGACUGCCGAGUGAGGGAGAAGAAUAAGCCCCCUUUCUUCAGUUUUUUCAGGGCGCUCAGCGUCAUAUGGCUCCCACCGGAGGGGAUGCCGGCGGCAGCGAAGUGCCAAAGGGCCCUGCGCCGGAUGGACCGAGGAACUCCGUGCUGAGCUCACGGGGAACCUGCGUGGUGCGGCUAGAGCUAGCCCCCAAAAAAAUCUGCUCGAGAUCGCCCCAAUUCCAACACAGGGCCACCGACGCGGCGAGGAGCCCUACGAUGGCGGGUUCGAGGAUCUAUUGGUCAUGCUAAUCGCCCACCUGCGGGACGUCGGGGACCAUCUCUGCGUGCUCCAGUCAUGUAAUCUUCUGAAGGCCGUCAUGGUGUUCCUCUCUGCCGGAGCAUCCCAGCGUCGGUGGCGGCCGCCGCGGCUCCCUGAGGCUGUUGUGUCUAGCCAGUCGCUCGCCCCCGCGAGCGUCCUAGCAUCGGUGGCCGCCGCCGCUACCACCGGAAAUCGCGGCAACCGUGUCUAGCCAGUCUGUCGUUGUUCAUCCCGCCCUUCACCGGCGCGUCAGCCGUAACUUCGCCCAGCGUGUGCCACCAUACAUGUGGAAACAGAUUGGAUAGGCGGGAGUACUACCAGCGACACCAACACGCCAGCAGGCAAUGGUGCCUACAUCGGCCACACAAAGAUUUUGCCUCCCGGCCUCCCAGAAGCUGCUGGUGCCGGUGUCUACAAAGCAGCCCAGCUACACGAGCUUCAUAGAGGCUCCAGUGCCACUGGCAAGUUGAACAGAAAUGUGGCGUUGAGUUCGGUGACCACCGCCGCGGGGACUCCAGGUGAUCCAUUAGGCCAUUACCCAUUUCCUCCUCUUAAUCGAUCUGGUGUUCUCUCUCCCACCUUUUGUUUCCCCUUAUAAGUUCAGUCCAAUGAACACCACCAGUUGACCACAAUACUAUUUUGUUUCCCUUGAUGCUAUUUCAAUCUCAAAGUAGCGGCAAACACACAAGCAAGUUCGCCGUGUCUGCCCUUGUGGCCUUCAUCUCUUUCAGUUCUUCGUUGACGUGCACCGUGUCAAAUUGGAAAACUUCUUAUAUUGUUUCCAGUGCAUUUGUCAACUAUAUUGUAUUUUACUUCUUCACUCUUGAGCCUGUAGAUAUUUAUUCCAUAAACUUAUAUUUUUGUUGAGGGUCUUUAGGAUUAUUAUCUGUCUUUGAACUUAUUUCGGUUGCCUUCAAUACUGAUAUGAUUUUACUGACUAGAUAUUCGAAAAUGCUACAGUGCAUGGAGACAUUGUUCUUGUUGUCCCUGUCGAAGCCACUGUAAAAGAGACGAGCGGUCCAUAUAUCUGGUGAUGUCCAGACGUUCCCCUGAUGCUUUAUGUAUUCAUAAUAUCCCAGUUAUGGUUUGUAUACCUCCUUCUGGUAUUGCUAGGAGCCCGAAACGGCAGGUGUAUAUUGCUGAUGGGUGAUGGCAGCGAGCAUGCCGUUGUUACCCUCUUGAGGGAACAGGCUGAUCUAUUUGGUGCUGACGGAUUCAUGGAGACAUCACGAAGAGCCCAUUAUCGUCUUAUUUGUUGGCAUGACAGCAAGUUGUGAUUUAUGUUUUAUAGGCUUGCUGGCCUUCAAUAGUACAUCUGUUACAAGAUGGCACGUUAAUGCGCUGAUUCCAGUGAUUGUUGUUGUCUGAUAGAGUGAAAUCAAGGUCGUGCUGAGCCAACUGCAUCAACGAUCGCCUAGAUAGCGACACUUGAGCCAAAUGACAUUAUGGUAUUUUAGUGCCCUGUGGUCUAUCCUUUUUUGCAUUCUCUGAUUAAAUCUAUUGUUAAUUGUGUUUAGGGUGACCGCUAUAAAGUAUCUAUUGGAAUUACUGAAGUCCUCGCAGACAAGGGCUGGGAUUAUAUAAGCUGCAAACAAUGAUGCAAGAAAAUUAAGUUAGAAGAUAGAGUAUAUAAGUUCCCUUGAUGCCCUACUGUUAUACCUCUCCCAAGGUAUAGGUUCAUUGUUCGAGCAGUUGACGCUGGUUCAGUAGAUUCUCAAAAUGCCAAUUUUGCAGACCUUCAUUUGUUUGAGCCUUGUGGAGAGAUUGUCAUCGUGAGAUUGUCCUCAAAAUUUCUCGAUAAAAUGUCAAACUGCAUAUGAGCGACCAAAAGGAAAAUUGGUUCAAAUCACCAGAAAAGUGGCAUUGUAGCUUGUGUCAAGCGUGAGAGGGCAGGCUAACACCAUGCCCUAGGAUUUGCUUGCCAUCAUGGGAAGGGAAUUCAGUAUUGUUGCUACUGGACGUGAAUCAUUGGAUGCAUUGCACAAUCAACAACUCCAGUUGGAGAUUGUUGAUCCGAUCAUUGUGCCAGUGUUGCCCAGCGGCACGGCAUAGAUGGUUCAGCUUUAGGUCAGAGCAGCGAAUGCUUCUCUACUCCUGAAACUCCAAAGCAGGCUCCAUGUCCUGGUGAGACUUCAGUUCCACCGCCGUCCAUGGAUCUCAUGCAUGCCACAAAGUACAUUGUCGUCAGCAUCUGCUAUCAAUGAGGUAUAUAUUUAUGGGAAAAAAAACUCAAUGAGGUAUAAUUUGACAGUCUUAGCAAGGUACUGGUGUUUUGGGGUUUCUGACAGACAAUAUGUUUCUGUUGUACACUGGCUCCGAUGCCGCUGGAGGAAGAAAGCGCAAGAAUGUUGGUACUGGAAAGAACCCCAAGUCGAAAAAGGGGUUGCAUUUCUCAGAUGAUAACUAGGUUCAUGUGCACAUGUUCGUGUGCUUAAUGUACCAGUCGCACGGGAUGUGAAGAGCAAGAUGUUUAUGUUGUCUUUCUGCUGCCGUUUCUGCUGUCUACAGAAUACUCUUUGGCUGGUGUGUGCAGACAUGAAGCUUUGUUAUGGGCUCUGUUUUAUGUUGUUCAAGGCCCAUACAGUGUGUCUGCUAGAAUUUUUUUCACCAGCUGGAAGCCGUAGCUCGCAGACUCUUCUUCCGAUGACCUGCAUUGAUCCGCUGGAGCUGUGGUAGCAGAGUGACAGGAUAUGAGCACAAGUUACUCAAAAGGUGUGAUCUCUAAGAGGAGAGAACUCCUUAGUCGUAUUGGCACCAUAUGAUUUGUUUGCUUUUGGACAGAAGUGUUUCAUACAGUGUAUUAUGGUGUCAUAUACAUGCAUUUUUUUAUUCAAGCACAUUAUGGUCUUCAAUAUAUCUACUUCGCUGAG